UACGGAGGGUGCGAGCGUUGUCCGGAAUCAUUGGGCGUAAAGGGCGCGUAGGUGGCCUUCUAAGCGUGCGGUGAAAGCCUGGGGCUCAACCCCGGGUCGGCCGUGCGAACUGGGGGGGCUUGAGCACUGUAGAGGCAGGCGGAAUUCCGGGUGUAGCGGUGGAAUGCGUAGAGAUCAGGAGGAACACCCGUGGCGAAGGCGGCCCCCCUGGGUCGGCCCUGACGCUGAGGCGCGAAAGCGUGGGGAGCGAACGGG
rnacentral:rRNA from 1 species